rnacentral:tRNA from 1 species
GAAAAUUUAGUUAAUAAUUUAUAACAUUAGCUUGUCAUGCUAAAAUAGCCUCAUUUAGGCAAUUUUCU